rnacentral:rRNA from 1 species
CAACCCUUGACAUGGGACGUAUGGGCUCGAGAGAUCGGGUCCUUCAGUUCGGCUGGCGUCCACACAGGUGCUGCAUGGCUGUCGUCAGCUCGUGUCGUGAGAUGUUGGGUUAAGUCCCGCAACGAGCGCAACCCUCAUCUUCAGUUGCCAUCAUUUAGUUGGGCACUCUGAAGAAACUGCCGGUGACAAGCCGGAGGAAGGCGGGGAUGACGUCAAGUCCUCAUGGCCCUUACGGGUUGGGCCACACACGUGCUACAAUGGCGGUGACAAUGGGGUGCAAAGGCGCGAGCCCGAGCCGAUCUCAAAAAGCCGUCUCAGUUCGGAUUGCACUCUGCAACUCGGGUGCAUGAAGUUGGAAUCGCUAGUAAUCGCGUAUCAGCACGACGCGGUGAAUACGUUCCC